UACGUUGGGGGCUAGCGUUGUUCGGAAUCACUGGGCGUAAAGGGCGCGUAGGCGGCUUUAUAAGUCGGGGGUGAAAGCCUGUGGCUCAACCACAGAAUUGCCUUCGAUACUGUAGAGCUUGAGACCGGAAGAGGUAAGUGGAACUGCGAGUGUAGAGGUGAAAUUCGUAGAUAUUCGCAAGAACACCAGUGGCGAAGGCGGCUUACUGGUCCGAUACUGACGCUGAGGCGCGAAAGCGUGGGGAGCAAACAGG
rnacentral:rRNA from 1 species